CAAAAAGAGCAAGGAGUUCACAAGACGAGGAACGGAGCGUAUACUUAAUACGUGAGUACCGUAGUACUUGUAGAACGACGUAGCCAAUUUUUGAAGUUCAUCGAGUAUAUUCGGUAAGGGUGAAAAGGUACGGUAAGAGCGUACCGGUAAGUUGGUAACAAAUUACGCAUGGUAAACCCCACCAAGAGCAAGAUCAAAUAGGCGUUACAGAACUUAUCAAGUUCCCGGGUUAUCUCUAGCCGGCUUGUAAUGCGGGUAGAUCGCUUGAGGUAAACGGUAACGUUUAUCCUAGAUAAAUAACUGCAAUGAAUUUAUAUUCAUACAGAAUCCGGCUUAUAGACCUUAUUGUUAU
rnacentral:ncRNA from 2 species